UACGUAGGGGGCAAGCGUUGUCCGGAAUCAUUGGGCGUAAAGAGCGUGUAGGCGGCCCGAUAAGUCCGUCGUGAAAGUCCAGGGCUCAACCCUGGGAUGCCGGUGGAAACUGUCGGGCUAGAGUCCGGAAGAGGCGAGUGGAAUUCCUGGUGUAGCGGUGAAAUGCGCAGAUAUCAGGAGGAACACCGAUGGCGAAGGCAGCUCGCUGGGACGGUACUGACGCUGAGACGCGAAAGCGUGGGGAGCGAACAGG
rnacentral:rRNA from 1 species